GACGAACGCUGGCGGCGUGCUUAACACAUGCAAGUCGAACGAUGAAGAAAAGAAUCGAAGCUUCGGCAGAAAUUCAUUUCGGAUUAGUGGCAGACGGGUGAGUAACGCGUGAGCAACCUACCUCUUACAAAGGGAUAGCCUCGGGAAACCGGGAUUAAUACCAUAUAACAUUGCGACGAAGCAUUUCGAUGCAUUCAAAGCUACGGCGGUAAUAGAUGGUCUCGCGUCCCAUUAAACGGAUGGUUAGGUAACGGCUCACCAUAGUGACGAUGGGUAACCGGCCUGAGAGGGUGAAAGGACACAAUGGAAAUGAGACACGGUACAGAAUACUACGGGAGGCAGCAGUGGGGAAUAAUGCAAAAUGGAGGGAAAUAUGAUGAAGCGACGACGCGUGAGUGAUGAAGGAAUUCGUAUAGUAAAACUCUGUUAUAUGGGAAGAAAAGGACGGUAACAAAGGAGAAAGCUCCGGCUAAAUACGUG
rnacentral:rRNA from 1 species